AGUGAACGCUGGCGGUAGGCCUAACACGUGCAAGUCGAACGGCAGCACAGUAAGAGCUUGCUCUUACGGGUGGCGAGUGGCGGACGGGUGAGGAAUACAUCGGAAUCUACUUUUUCGUGGGGGAUAACGUAGGGAAACAUACGCUAAUACCGCAUACGACCUACGGGUGAAAGCAAGGGAUCUUCGGACCUUGCGCGACUGAAUGAGCCGAUGUCGGAUUAGCUAGUUGGCGGGGUAAAGGCCCACCAAGGCAACGAUCCGUAGCUGGUCUGAGAGGAUGAUCGGCCACACUGGAACUGAGACACGGUCCAGACUCCUACGGGAGGCAGCAGUAGGGAAUCUUGCACAAUGGGCGCAAGCCUGAUCCAGCCACACCGCGUGAGUGAAGAAGGCCUUCGGGUUGUAAAGCCCUUUUGUUGGGAAAGAAAAGCAGCAGGUUAAUCCCCCGCUGUUCUGACGGUACCCAAAGAAUAAGCACCGGCUAACUUCGUG
rnacentral:rRNA from 1 species